GUACAUAUUGCUGGUUUCUUUGUGGGGUAUAUAUCAGCAGCUGUUUGAGGGUUUAGAGAAGCACAAAGACGAGCAAUAUCAAUUGAGGUUGGUAUGCAAAAUUCUUCUUUGGGUGUGGUUUUGGCCACUUCUCAUUUCACCUCGCCGAUGGUUGCAUUACCC